ACUUGACUAGCUGAGAGGAGGGUGCAUGGCCGUCGUCAGUUCGUACUGUGAGGUGUCGGGUUAAGUCCCAUAACGAGCGCAACCCUUAUCGUUAGUUGCCAUCUGGUAAUGCAGGGGACUCUAGCGAAACUGCCACCGUAAGGUGAGAGGAAGUGGGGAUGACGUCAAAUCAGCACGGCCCUUAUGUCCAGGGCUACACACGUGUUACAAUGGUCGGUACAGAGGGCAGCUACCUGGUGACAGGAUGCUAAUCUCGAAAACCGGUCUCAGUUCGGAUCGAAGUCUGCAACUCGACUUCGUGAAGCUGGAUUCGCUAGUAAUCGCGCAUCAGCUAUGGCGCGGUGAAUACGUUCCCGGGCCUU
rnacentral:rRNA from 1 species